rnacentral:tRNA from 1 species
UGUUCUGUGGCUUAGUUGGGUAAAGCUCCGGUCUAGCGAAAUCGGAGUUGUGGGUUCAAAUCGCACCAGAACGC